rnacentral:rRNA from 1 species
AGUGAACGCUGGCGGUAGGCCUAACACAUGCAAGUCGAACGGCAGCACAGUAAGAGCUUGCUCUUACGGGUGGCGAGUGGCGGACGGGUGAGGAAUACAUCGGAAUCUACUUUUUCGUGGGGGAUAGCGUAGGGAAACUUACGCUAAUACCGCAUACGACCUACGGGUGAAAGCAGGGGAUCAUCGGACCUUGCGCGAUUGAAUGAGCCGAUGUCGGAUUAGCUAGUUGGCGGGGUAAAGGCCCACCAAGGCGACGAUCCGUAGCUGGUCUGAGAGGAUGAUCAGCCACACUGGAACUGAGACACGGUCCAGACUCCUACGGGAGGCAGCAGUGGGGAAUAUUGGACAAUGGGCGCAAGCCUGAUCCAGCCAUACCGCGUGGGUGAAGAAGGCCUUCGGGUUGUAAAGCCCUUUUGUUGGGAAAGAAAAGCAGCAGGUUAAUACCCCGCUGUUCUGACGGUACCCAAAGAAUAAGCACCGGCUAACUUCGUG